AAAUGUUAACUGGCGGGGUGUUCGUUUGACAACCACUGUUUUCGCGAAAAUCGCGGGGGGGGGCGCCAAUCGGAGAAAAAGGGGUGGCGACCUCCGCGACGUAGGCGUCCAAGAAACGGAACGUCACGUGCCGGGAACGUGUCACGUCACGUGGCCGCGAACGGUUUACUUUAAACGCCGUUGUUAUGGUAACGAAAUUGGAUUCUUUGUCGGUAAAUUCAUAAAUUAAGGAGGGCACUGAACAGGACCGGCGCAUCCGCCCGAAGUGAGAGUCGGUUAACGACAGCCGUGGUACCUCGCGCAAAGACUAGUUUCUACGGACUGAAUAAUUAAAACUAAACCUUGGAACGAACGAUAAGGCCGAAGGACUUUGGGAAAGGUCAAAACGAAUAUGAAGAUCGCUGAUGUAACGCCAGAGCGAGAUAACGAUUAACACGAUAGCCCCAAUUUAGUUCGCAAUAACAUUUACUGGUUUCGACGUAAAUUUUUCCAUUGAAAUUAAUAACGCGCAUUCCCCACACUGUGUGAAAAACGUACCUUGUGCCAUUGCGUUUGUAAAAUAUUUAAACAAAGAAAAAACGCAAUAAUUUUACUAUUGGCAAAUGUGUAAAGUGUAUUGCCUAUACCCCAGGCGCUGAGACCUUUCUUCCUCGAGUAUCCAUUGUUCGAAAUCAUUUUUCACCGCAAGUGUACCAUGCCUUUUACCGUAGUGCAGGAACACUAUCCUCAUAUGUAGAGCAUGCAGACUGGAAUAGUGUUAUGGAGUGCUCGGAUGUCGAAAGGGCUUUAGAAAUUUUUUACGACAUACUAAACAAUAUUUUUGCCGUUUUCACAAUCACUAAACCACCUAGACGAUCAUGGUUCACCAAAGAAACCAUAGUAUAUGUAUCCAAUACAGUGCGAAUUUUACUAUUCGUAAUAAAAAAAUUCAGGAUACUAAUAAAUUGUUAUUUAACAGUUGCCUUAAGUCCAAGCUUGUCUAUAGCUCGGUGGUAUGGUUACCAAUAUAUAUCUGCCACACUCAGUCUAUUGAGUGUGCAGAAGAGAUUACUGAAGUAUAGGAUUCCUAUCCUGAGAGGGGAGUUGAUCAUGUUCUUCUGUUGGGAAGGUCUCUGAGCUUGCGUAGAGACUUGCAAUCGGGUUUCAAGUUAAAUCAUUGCGAAGUCCAUUGUCCGUUUCUUCUGGAACAAUGACGUUUUCAUUCAAGUCAAUUUUCUUACAACAGUUAUUGAGGUCCAAUAUAAAUUUUCGAAACAUUCAAAUAUCAUCGCACUGUGAUUUAUGUUAUGAUGGUCUCCAAGCGAUACUUGGGUAACUCCUUCUUGCGGGGCAGCAAGACUACGUUCCCCUCCAGGACGAUCGGGCAAUGUUCGCUGCAUCCAAGAGUGCCGACUUCUGGAUCAUAUGGUAAGACCCAGUUUAAUUAAGUUUGUUUUCAGGUUCGUCGGUACAACACCCAUGCUGGAUAUAAUCAAUGGGUCUGCCUCCACUCUCUCCAUGUGCCACACUUCUUUAACUUCCCAUUUCAGCCUUCUUAGAGUCGAUGUUGUGCGUGGUGUUGAUGGAUAUAUCAACUAAAUAUGCGGUAUUUGUUAAGUCUGGUUGAUUAUGCCCGAUUUCCUUGUAUGUGAUUAUGGCUUUGUCCCAGCAGAUCUUCGCUUUGUUACUCUCGAUGACUGGUGGUGUUUGGAGGCAGAAAUAUGGCUUUUUAUCUUCAAGGUUUAUGUCCUAACUUUGUUGUGCCGCCAGCCUCUCUAUAUAUUUUGUGUUGGCUAGUUUGGGGCAUACCGAAAGCAUGCAAUGUUUUCUUUCAUGAUGUACUUUCGAUAGUUCUGGGUGCCAACAACCUGGUCUCUUGCAUAGCUACAACAAACCCUUUUGUUUCUGGAAUUAAAUAGCCUUUACUCAGCCAUUGAAGGGGAGCGUCUCGGUCGACGUUGUUUAGGUUUCGUUUGAAUUUUUUCCAGAGUCGUAUCUGGUUUUCCUAACUUAAUUAAUGACUUUGGUAAUGUUAAUCGAAUUUAGCUCUGUUCUAAGGAGAGCAUUUAACCUUUGCUUGAAUUUAUCGAUGAGAAUAUUUUUGAUUUCAGCGUGUUCUAUCUUGUUUGAUUGUAGCAUUCCUAGGUAUUUGUAGGGCUGGUUAUCCAUCGCAUUUAUAGUGACGUGCUCGUUCAGGGGGAGAGCGGCGUCCGAUGUGAGUUUUCCUCUGACCACUGUUACCGCCUGGCAUUUGCAUUGCUGGCUUUGUGCACUAAUUUUAGCAGGUUUUCUAAGUGAUUUUAGAGGAGAUGAUUCAGCAUACGUGUUCCAUCGUUAGUUAGAGAUGGAAUGGAUGGAAGAUACACUUUUUUAUGUUUAUGGUUGGCGUUUGUCUUCGGGUAUUACCACAGUCAAAGCGUAGGCGAACGCGUAAACCCCAAACAGCAAAAUGGCGAGCGCUGUCGGCUAGCGAUUUUGAAAAAAUCACCGGGGCCUUUUUUAUCUUCGUUUCGAAGUGUAACGUUGUGAUUGUUGGAACGCGGACUGGUUCUUAAAAUAAGAACACAUCAAUCAAGUGCCAGCAGUAUCCGAAAUACGGAUAAUUAGUUGUCGGUCAACCCGCUUGCAGCGGGCCACUAGAUUAAUACGUAUCACUUGCCGCCGAGUCACGUGAGUUUGUUUCAUCUGUCAAAGUUAUAAACAAUUAAAGAUGGUAAAAAGCAGUGUUUAUUUUUUUGCUGAUAGUUUGAAAAGAGAUGCUUAAAGAGGAAGAAAUUUACUAAAAAAAAGUUCCGAUUCUCGAAACUGCUAUAUUUACGUAUAUUUUCAAACUAUAAUAAAAAUUGCAAUAAUUUUUUUUUCGGUAUUUUGAUGCAAAUAUUCGUUACGUGCCAUCUCAGGCAAGACCUGCUUGAUGCAGAAUCAUCUGUAAAAUGCUUAAAACGUCAAAGCAAUAAAUGCACUAUAUUUUUGGUCGUACAAUACCUGAUUUAGCUUACUUAUCUGUGAUAAUUAAAAUAAUAAAUAAUACCGUAAGCAGGACGAAUCGGGAAGUUUCGUAAAUCGUAUUUCCGUAGCCUGCGGAAGUUUCUUUGAAAAAAAAAACGAAUAAAUAUAAUACAACGUUGCCAGC